rnacentral:rRNA from 1 species
UACGUAGGGUGCGAGCGUUGUCCGGAAUUACUGGGCGUAAAGAGCUUGUAGGUGGUUUGUCGCGUUGUUCGUGAAAUCUCACGGCUCAACUGUGAGCGUGCGGGCGAUACGGGCAGACUAGAGUACUGCAGGGGAGACUGGAAUUCCUGGUGUAGCGGUGAAAUGCGCAGAUAUCAGGAGGAACACCGAUGGCGAAGGCAGGUCUCUGGGCCGAUACUGACGCUGAGGCACGAAAGCGUGGGGAGCAAACAGG